AAAAUGCAAGUUCCCGGCCCAAAAGGUUAACUAAGCGUACAAUCAGAUUCCCCUUGUCAAAACAAGUCUGUGAGAAAAAUGAGUUCCCAACCUUAGAAAUUAUUCAAAUUAUUCACAUCAAAUACAAUAAAAUGUUUUCCCUUUUUGUCAAAGAUUUUUUUUUCCUUUGGUUGGGGUACUGGUGGUGAGACUAAACUGGAACUGGUUGUGCUGAUCAGACUACCCUCAAACUCAAAGAAAUGCCUGCCUCUGCCCCAAAAAUCAUUUCAUUGAUGAGGUUCUGGGUUAUCAGAUAAACGUCUGUUUUAAUAACGAUAAAAUCUGGGUGGACAUGCUGGCACAUAUGUUUAAUCCUAGCACUGGGGAAGAAAACAAUGUGGCCUACAUAGGGGCUGUAGGCCAGUCAGGAUCACAUAGUAACCUGUCAUUAAAAAAGAUAAAAUUAAAGUUGAAAUAUGCAUGGAUUCCAAAAGAACACUUUGUGUUUUGUCAGCUUGUAUCAGCUGUGUCUGAGCUUCCCUCUGACCUUUCUAUUGUAUAUAAUGUAUCUGCACUCCUCCAUACCUUCCUGUGCCCUCCUGCUCACACCGUGCCUCCUGCCCUUCUCACUCUUCCCAGGUCUUCCCAGAAGCUCCUUCUAGCCUUAGGUCUUUUUUUUCCCCUAAAAUAUGUGUGUGUGUGUGUGUGUGUGUGUGUGUGU
rnacentral:lncRNA from 1 species